rnacentral:lncRNA from 1 species
CAUAAUGGGGAACUUAUCAGGCUGUUAAUGUGUAUUACAUGUCAUCAGCCUCUAGCAUAGAACUCUGUAUGUGAAUCUAGCUUCUCGUACUUUUGGUGGCAAGUGUAGCAGAAAAAUGUCAAUGUGUUUGUAAAGUGUUUCUCAUUGCCUUUGCUGUAAAUCUAGUGUUUCUUUUCUUUUAUAACUGUUUGAAAUGUUUGGGCUUCAUUUCGGGAAAUAAUGUCCGCACCUCAUUUUUCUCCUUCUGCACACUUUAUUUACUUGUGGCCCUUGGAUUCUUAUUUGAUUCGUUCAAUUCAAAGGUUAGGAAUGAACAAGGGUGUGCAAAAGGAAAAAAAAAAUAGUGUGCUAAAAAUAUCAAUUCCCCUUCUUUUAUCAACAUAAAUUCAAUGGGGUAUUCAAAAAUGAGUUCAAUGGGGUGAGAAACAAUUUCUAGCCAACUGACUAUGCAGUUAAUCUUCCAUUUAGUUCUUAAUAAAACUUAAUUACCAACUUGAUUUCCUUCAUCACCAACUAUUAGACUCCCCAACUCAUGCACUCUCUUGAUUAAGCUCCAACGACGUGUUUACUUAUCAAGAAUGGAUGCAAAGAGAUUGGUAUCUUCUCAUUCUUGGUAUAUCUAACGCACAAGGAAUGAAAGAAUGAGUUCACUGUUGAAAUUAGCUACGACCACCCAAUUUCAAUCACAUGUCAUUAUCAGGGGGGGGCUCGUGCCAUACUUGAACAACUUGGUAUCAUACUCAUGCCCAAGCUGGGAGUACGAACUACUUCAACUUCACCAAAAUUUCUCAAGGUCAACUAUUCUUAUAUCUAUAUGUAUAAUGGGAGAAGGCAAAAAAGGGAAGCUUUUAUAAUACCCAAAUUGCCUUCUCCCAUUGGUAAUUUGAAUAAAUAAAUAAAUAAAGAUCCACAAAAAAACCCAAGGUAAUGAUACUCGGGGUGAUUAGUAAGUUCAUUACUUUUCAAAAUAAAUAACAAAAUUAAAAAUAAACAGCCAAUUGCCAUACGCGUACGCAUGUGGCAAUAAACUAGUAUUUAAUAAUAUUUGCAUAAAAGAACCAAAAACCUCAAAUCUAAAGCAAAAAUGUUUUUCUUACCAUUAUUUGUAUCAUCUCUCUUAUAAAAAUAGGACUCAUGUGCCUUGACAAGCCUAAUCUCUAUUAGUAAGAUGGUUGAACUAGAUAAUAAGGAUAGCACUACUAAAAAAAAGUAAACCCGUCAUUUUGUACCUGAAAAAGAAACCCAAAACAUUUCUGUAGAGAAAGAGAGAGGACUCAGAAACAUUCAGUGGUUAUCGGCAAGGCAACUUUGCCAUUACGCACGACGAGCGAACCAAAUUGUUAUCCUCAUCGUCCUCCUCCUAUGAAACCAGAAGAGAGAGAGAGAGAGAGAGAGAGAGAGAGAGAGAGAGAGAGAGAGAGAGAGAGAGAGAGAGAGAGAGAGAGAGAGAGCUGAGAGUUUGUGCUGCACGCUGAGCAGCUGAGCUUUGGGGUUUAUAUAUAAACAUAAUGUGAGUGCGAGUCUUAUGUAUUUAAAAGAAUUGGAGUUUGGUGGGGGAUGUCAAGUUUGAACUUUACUUUGCCUUGGCCUCCAAGCCUUUGAAUUCAAACAUUUAUGAAUUAUUAUAUUACAUUUUUGUAAUAAUAUUUGUGAAUAAUAAUCAAAUUCAACUUGCAGUCUGAGUUUGUAUUCAGAUGGUUUUCAAACUUAUAAUAUAUAGGGUUAUUAUACAAAAUAGUCCUUGAGAUUUGCAUGAUCAAUAGAAAUGGUCCUUGAGAUUGUCUACCAUCCAUGAUUUUGGUCAUUCCGUUAAAAACUCUUUACAAUCUAAAAACAUAAUCUUCCUUGCAUUUUCCUAUCCCAAUACCAUUGAUUUUUAAUUUCAAAUUAUUAAUUUGAGCUACUGCCAAUAAUGUCAAUGUGUUUGUAAAAGUGUUUCUCAUUACCUUUGCUGUAAAUCUUGUGUUUCUUUUGUUAUACAACUAUUUGAAAUGUUUGGGC